UUAAUAAAUGAAUCACGAAAAUAUAUAGAAUACUGGAUAAGUGGCCGAGUGACAGCAAGCAGGGGGCUUUCAACCAAGUAUGGAUAGAGUUCCCAGAAGACUUCAUCGGCAGGAAAGAAGCUCUAAUAAUGUGAAAUAGAAAUACCAGAAGACUCCUAUCAGGGAUAUUGUUGCCAUGGUGAUAUUGUGACAUCAAGCUUUGCGCAGAGGGUUGCUGCCUCUUACCUGUAGACUUUGGCUUGCACUGUGUAGGAAGAAUUUCUGGACCACUUGGAGACAUUUAUAUAUAAAUUUAACAUAUAUAAUAUGUCAAAGCCAAGAGGGACCAAUGGAUGAGAAGAGGAAACCUGAUCUCAAUGUUAUACGCCUAUGGAAAAAGAAGAUUCCAUAAAGGAGAAUGAAAAUAAAGGCAAAAUAUAUAGUCUUAGAGUCGAGAGAGUAAAUGAAAAUUUAUAGGAAUUAGUUAAGACACUGCACAUUUAAAUACAACAAAGAAGCCCAACAAAGAAGAGCUGAAAAGUUUCCCUUGGGAUCAGCAUUUAGGAAGUUAGUAAUUAGAGCAAUUCCCUGAGAUCUGUUGAGAGGCUGUAUUUCAGUGAAAUGAGAAAUGGGUGGAUAUCAAAAAAUGGGAGUUGAAAGCGGAGAUCACUCAUUGAAGAAUCAUGGAUAAAAAGAGAAGGAGAGAAAUCUGAUGGCCUCAGGAGUAGUACAUAGGAUCGGGGAGAAUUUAAAAUCUUUUCAAAAUGGAAGACCCUGAGUAUGUUGAUAGGCUCAGAAGAAGCAGCCUGUUUCAAGCUGUGAUAUAUAAAAGGGGGAAUUAAAAAGGUGGCUCCAGCUGAGGGAAAGAUCAAUGAACACAAGAGCUUUGAACAGGAAAGACAUCACCUCUGAAAGCAGAAGAAAGAAGGCAGAAGUGUGUGUCAGUGUGCACUAGUGUGUUGACUGGGAAUCAGAAAGAUGAGUGAGGCCACUACUGAUAAUUUAAAUUUUCUUUGUGAAGUAGAAGGCAAGGUUAUAUGUGAGACAGGGAAAUUUGGCCAUUGUAAAAGAAAUAAACAACUGGCCUUUUGUUAAAGGUGGAAAGAUUGAUUUUAUUCAGGCUAUUGCAGUAGGAUAGAGACUUCAGUGUAAACUGAGCUCAUAUCUGCUAAAACAGAUUUUUAAAUGUUGGAGUAUACUAAAGGAAAAGUACUGAAAGGUAUUGGUUGGGGUUGGGGAGGUUUAUCUAUGUGACUAGGCCAGCUGCGUUUGCUAAUUGGUACUUAAUCAAAGUUAAGCUCCUACCCUCACACAGGUAUUGGGAGACACAGAUGGACGCUAUCUUGUUGAUUACAUUUCAAAAGAAUGGCUCCUAGGUCUUCAAGAAAGACGUUCCUGGGUUAUAGAAGAUACAUCUCAAAGGUUUAGAGGAAAGGUUUACAGCUGCAAGUUUUCUAAAGCAAAUGUUCCAGAAAAAGGAGAUCGGGAUCCUAUAGUCAGAUUUUGGCUAGAACAAACAGCAAUUUCUUUUGGGAGCAUUGGGCUUUCUUGGGCAUUUUAAGGAGACUGGGAUCAUCAUUGUAGGGACAUGGGCUUGAACUGAUAGAAGUCCUGCUAGAGUUUUGCCAAUAAGGAAUUCCGAGAAGAAUGUUUGUCACCAUGUUAGUGUUUGACUUUUUCAAGAUCAUACUGAUUUGGAUCAUUCAGGUGUGAAACCACAAGAUGAGGCAGUGAGCCUGAUAUAUAAAGUUUAAGCAAUUUCAGAGAAAGCUCUUUAAACUGAUCAUAUAAAAACUGAUGCCAGAAUGUUCAGUUUAGAGCAAUAUGGAAAACUCAAACAGAAAAAUAGGUUAAAGAGUACACAACUACAAAACCAACGUGAAAGAACGGGCUAUGGAGCAGAGCUAGAAGAUAGGCACAGUGACUGUGUAUGUGAGCUAGCUCUAGAAAAUCUAAUCUCAUAGGGUAGGGCCCAGCUAUAGCGCUGAGGGUUGAGAAUAGCACUGAUGGAAAGAUCUAAGCAGAGCCGUUGUCUUAGCCUACAGAAACUUAUUUGAGUAUAGUUUUGGACCAUGAUGUUAGGACCAAAGAAAGUUCCCAAGGAACUUGGCAUACCUGGACCCAAAGUAAAAAAAGAACAACUAGGUGAAGAGACCUCAUGUGAAAAAUUUUAACUUCUUGACUUUCCAGUGACCAAGUUCAAGAUUAAUUCUAUAAUUUGGAACAGAAUUGGAUUUGCAGGAUUUUAACUUUUAGCAGUUAUGAAUUUGUGUCAAGAACUAUGGAAAAUGUCAACUGACCUUGCCUAGCAAAAAGAGAAAGAUCCUGGAGCAAGAACUAGGCAAGAUAUCUCAUUGGUUCAUAUUCUACAUUUUCCCCUGGAGGAAGGUAUAGAGAAAUUGACUUAAAGGCAGGGACCAUUCAAUGGUACAAAUGGCAAAGAUGAAAUAAUAUGGUUAAACAUGAACCAUGUGGUGAAGUAGAUA